AAAGGGGUUUCCUGGAAUAGGGCAAGGUGACAUUAAUAUGUAAAUGAAGUAAAAAUUGGGUAAGUGAAGGUUUCAUUCAACAUGAUAAUGAUGCAAUGUGUAUUCCUGCUAUGGUGCUUAUCUGAAGAUAGUUUUAAUCCUCCUGAAGAACCUGAUAGCCAGAUACUUAUUCUUGAAGUACUAUUGUUACUAAGUCUCAGAUCUCUAGGAGGGUAUAAUUUUGUAACUCCAGAAUGCCCUGCACCAUUGCUGAAAAAUUUAGAAAACACUGUUUCUUCUUUGCAACCUCUCUGAUGCUGCUGAGUCCAGGGCACUGCUGUUUCACAGCCUUCAUCCUGUCCAACAGUCCUGGGAAGAGAGCACAGCAGGGACAGAAAUGAGAAAAGCCAGACUUCGAAGCCUAAUUUUCAGGGGCUCACAUCACUUCUGUUCCUGUGUCGUGGGACCAUCCAGCAGCAGCACAUAAUUGAAAGUCAUCUGACUCACAGGAUUGGGAGUGAACCUGGCAGGCCCUGGAACAGAUCUUCACUGACUGGCAUGUGUGGUUUCAGUCUAGUCCCUGCUGCUCACCGCACAGAAAGCCAAUCACGGAGAUGAUGAGUAUUGCCAAGGAAGAAGGCUUUAAUUUGGUGCUGCAGCUGAGGAGAUGACAGGAAGAAGACACCGUGGGAUCAGCUUGAUGUCCUUACAUGUGCACUAGUUCAUCCUGCUGUGACACAUACUCUGGAUGUGCUAAUGCAGUAUUGGAUUGCAUUCCCCAUGGGCUGCUGGAGGAACUAAGGGUGCAACCUGGAAGUACAGGGGAGUUAAUGUCCUGUAAGGAAUAUUCCAAGGGAGAAGGGAGCCAGCCCAUAAAUUCUCCUCCCUUCCUUCCUUGGCAAUUCAGCAUAAUCAAUCCACUAUGCUUGUCACAAAGCUGUAGCCAUGCCUGGUACAUUUGCUUCCCUUGCCUUUCCUCUCAUUUUUGCUUCCCAAGAUUUUAAUACUCAAUAAAACAUUAGCACUGUAAUGUAAGCUGUUC
rnacentral:lncRNA from 1 species